rnacentral:rRNA from 1 species
AUUGAACGCUGGCGGAAUGCUUUACACAUGCAAGUCGAGCGGCAGCGCGGGGGCAACCCUGGCGGCGAGCGGCGAACGGGUGAGUAACAUAUCGGAACGUACCCAGUCGUGGGGGAUAACUAUCCGAAAGGAUAGCUAAUACCGCAUACGUCCUGAGGGAGAAAGCGGGGGAUCGCAAGACCUCGCGCGAUUGGAGCGGCCGAUAUCGGAUUAGCUAGUUGGUGAGGUAAAGGCUCACCAAGGCGACGAUCUGUAGCGGGUCUGAGAGGAUGAUCCGCCACACUGGAACUGAGACACGGUCCAGACUCCUACGGGAGGCAGCAGUGGGGAAUUUUGGACAAUGGGCGCAAGCCUGAUCCAGCCAUGCCGCGUGAGUGAAGAAGGCCUCGGUUGUAA